CAGCCGCGCGGGAAUACGUAGGUGGCAAGCGUUGUCCGGAUUUAUUGGGCGUAAAGCGAGCGCAGGCGGUCAAUUAAGUCUGAUGUGAAAGCCCCCGCUCAACCGGGGAGGGUCAUUGGAAACUGGUUGACUUGAGUGCAGAAGAGGAGAGUGGAAUUCCAUGUGUAGCGGUGAAAUGCGUAGAUAUAUGGAGGAACACCAGUGGCGAAGGCGACUCUCUGGUCUGUAACUGACGCUGAGGCUCGAAAGCGUGGGUAGCAAACAGGAUUAGAGACCCCCGUAGUCCCUGUCUCUUAUACAC
rnacentral:rRNA from 1 species